GAUGAACGCUGGCGGCGUGCCUAACACAUGCAAGUCGAACGAGGCCCUUUGUAUUCGUACGAAGGUGUCCUAGUGGCGAACGGGUGAGUAACACGUUGGUGACCUGCCCCGAAGAUGGGGAUAACUCCGGGAAACUGGAGCUAAUACCCAAUGUGCUCUAAGGAGUUAGAUGACCUUGGAGUAAAGGGAGCAAUCCGCUUUGGGAGGGGCCUGCGGCCCAUCAGCUAGUUGGUAGGGUAAUGGCCUACCAAGGCUAUGACGGGUAGGGGACCUGAGAGGGUGGCCCCCCACACUGGCACUGAAACACGGGCCAGACACCUACGGGUGGCAGCAGUGGGGAAUAUUGCCCAAUGGACGAAAGUCUGAGGCAGCAACGCCGCGUGCGCGAUGAAGGCCUUCGGGUUGUAAAGCGCUUUUCUGGGGGAAGAGGAAGGACGGUACCCCAGGAAUAAGUCUCGGCUAACUACGUGCCAGCAGCCGCGGUAAAACGUAGGAGGCGAGCGUUAUCCGGAUUUACUGGGCGUAAAGCGCGUGUAGGCGGUUUGGUAAGUCGGACGUAAAAGCUCCCGGCUCAACUGGGAGAGGCCGUUCGAUACUGCUAGACUAGAGGGCAGCAGAGGGAGGUGGAAUUUCAGGUGUAGCGGUGAAAUGCGUAGAUAUCUGAAGGAACACCAGUGGCGAAGGCGGCCUCCUGGACUGUCCCUGACGCUAAGACGCGAAAGCUAGGGGAGCGAACGGGAUUAGAAACCCCGGUAGUCCUAGCCGUAAACGAUGCAGACUUGGUGUUGGUGGUGUAGAAGCCAUCAGUGCCGUAGCUAACGCGUUAAGUCUGCCGCCUGGGGACUACGACCGCAAGGUUAAAACUCAAAGGGAAUUGACGGGGGCCCGCACAAGCAGCGGAGCGUGUGGUUUAAUUCGAGGCUACGCGAAGAACCUUACCUGGGUUUGACAUGUAUGUAGUAGGGAUCCGAAAGGUGACCGACCCUUCGGGGA
rnacentral:rRNA from 1 species